rnacentral:rRNA from 1 species
UGGGGGAUAUUGCACAAUGGGGGAAACCCUGAUGCAGCGACGCCGCGUGAAGGAAGAAGGCCUUCGGGUUGUAAACUUCUGUCGUACGGGACGAUAAUGACGGUACCGUACAAGAAAGCCACGGCUAACUACGUGCCAGCAGCCGCGGUAAAACGUAGGUGGCAAGCGUUGUCCGGAAUUACUGGGUGUAAAGGGAGCGCAGGCGGGAGAGCAAGUUGGAAGUGAAAUCUAUGGGCUCAACCCAUAAAUUGCUUUCAAAACUGCUUUUCUUGAGUAGUGCAGAGGUAGGCGGAAUUCCCGGUGUAGCGGUGGAAUGCGUAGAUAUCGGGAGGAACACCAGUGGCGAAGGCGGCCUACUGGGCACCAACUGACGCUGAGGCUCGAAAGCAUGGGUAGCAAACA